UAUUGUUGCUGGCGGGUUGGAUUGGUUUGAUUCGGUUCAGGAAUCGUAAGGCGAAAGAUAGACUCUGUUUUUAUUAUUACAUUUUAACUAAAGUUAAUUUAAAAAAUGGAAGAUACUGAAGACAAAAUGCAGCAAUCAGAAUUGGCUGUGGUGGCCGAGAGAACCCGCAUGUGCGAUGAAUUUGCCUUGAUAACGAGCUCAGAUAAUGCUGUGGCACAAGGAUACCUUGCUGAAAAUGACUGGGAUAUAGAAAGGGCAGUACAUUCUUUUUUUGAAGCUGACGUUGAGACAGUCCCUUGUGAUAUAUCCCCAGAGCUGGAUUCGAUCAAGAAAAGCAAUAUGAAGUGCGGAUCAGAGCCUCUAGUUUGUAUUGACCUGACUGAAGACGAGCCAGCCAGUGGAAGUAGCAGUACAGUUGAAGGCGGUGGUUCUAAAGUCCAGACAGAGCCAGAGGAUAAGAGCAGGUUUUCAGUGCUGACCUGGAACAUUGACGGACUUGACCUCACAAACCCAGCUGAACGUGCCAGGGGGGUAUGUUCAUACAUAGCACUGUACAGUCCUGAUGUGGUGUUUCUUCAAGAGGUUGUACCACCGUAUUUGUCCUAUCUGAAAAAAAGAGCCGUCAGUUAUACAAUCGUUGAAGGAAAUGAGGAUUGCUAUUUUACUGCAGUAAUGUUGAAGAAGUCUAGAGUUAAACUCCUAAAGACGGAAAUAAUUCCUUUCCCUUCAACGUCAAUGAUGAGGAAUCUGCUAACCGUGCAGGCCAGUUUUUGUGGCAAUGAGCUGUACUUAAUGACAUCCCAUCUGGAAAGCACUAAAGACCAUUCACGAGAAAGAAUGAACCAGCUGAAGACAGUGUUGACAAAAAUCAAAGAAGCACCUGAGACUUCUACAGUGAUAUUUGGAGGUGAUACCAACCUGAGGGACCACGAGGUUAGCUCAAGGUUUACUUACUACAUAUCCAUUAUAACCUUAAUCAAGCAAACAUAUGUUUGCUGCGGUGAGCUGUUAAUAAUAGUUGCUGUGAUGUCUGAACUGGAACUUUUCAAUCUGCAGUAACAGUUUUUGUAUCGUCAUGGACCAUUGGAACACAUUGGGGUCUGUUGUAAUUAUCUAAACAAAGGGUCUUAACACCAACACCCUAAAAUGUGUAACCCAGAUAUUUUGCUCACUUCCUUCCAUGUUAAUAUUUCUAUUUAUGUUGUGUUAGUAGUGUUAAUAAGGUGGUAAUUAAAUCACCAUCUAGGGAAACGGCAAUAUUGUUAUAUUGUUAACAUUAAGCUUUGGACUGAUCCAUUUGAACUUCAUAGGUAGUAUAAACUUGGGGGUUCAGGUAAUGUAUGCAAUUCCUGCCGUAGUAUAUUGUCUUCAGGAUGGCUACAAGUAACCACAGACUGUGCAAACUUGCACAGAAAUAUUUUUUCAUACCAGCAACACGUUCUGCAUCUGAGAGAGUUUUCAGUACAUUUGGUAACGUUGUUACAUGCAGCGCUCCAGAUUAAAAUAUGAAUUAACGUAUGAUAUUUAAAUAUAUGUGUAAAGAACACUCUUAGCAAUAUUUCUGCACAGCUUGAGUCUGCAUUUUAUCAAGCUUCUUGUUCUUCAUUAGUUCCCCAUGUCUCAAUGGUCAAUUGUGAAUAUACUGCAUGCGAUAGAUAGAGAAUGGAUCAUAGAAAUGCCUUUACCUAACCUGCCAAUCUACCUAUCUGUCAACUGAAAUUUGUGAAGGUGAAUCUAUGUAAUAAAUACAGUAUUCUGUGUUUUGAGUCAGGAUGCUUUAUAGUGCUGAAGCAAGGCGAUCAAUAAAGAAUGCAGUAGUAUUUGCAUUAGUGCAGUGUUGGUACAGUUUUUAAAAAACUGACUUUUUUGUUUUAAAAUUUUUUGGGAGCGUAUGAGUUUACUAGUAAAGGGAAAGCACAAAAGUAAGUAAGAUUUACAGAAAACUAUAACCACUGUAACAACCAUGUACUAAAGUGACUCAGUUAACACAGUACUAGUGACAUUACAGUUAAAAUGUAAGGCUGUAGUUAAAUCGUACACCAUAUGUUAAGGUCAUGUUGCAUUUUACUGUUACAAACCUUAUAUUUUUUGGCUACUGGAUUAACUAACUGAUAGCAUGCUGCUGCCACCACCUUUUAUUUCUAUCAGAAGGUCCGGAAUUUACUAAUAUGCAUUUAUCUAAAAUAGGAUGGGAGAGUGUGCAAUAAUCAUACCACAAAGACACUAAGACCAUCAACUUGGGGCAGAUAGUUUAUUAACAAGCAUUUCAUUAAAACAGGGGGUUAACAAUCUCUGAACCACACAGGUAGAAAUGACAAUCGGGUCAAUAGAUUAUGUAUGUAACACAGUGUAAAAGGAUGAGAGAAGGGGCAGACACACCCAUACCAAAACCCUUACAAAUGAUAUAGAAAAUAAGCCAAAAGAACCACAAAUCCAAACCAUAAACACAUGCUGUUAGUAAUCAAACAAAGUAAUAUUCAACAUAAAAUAAUAUGUGAAUAAUAGACAAAUCAACUCAACUUGACGCAUGCAAAAUAAACCACCACAGGUUUAGUAGUGUCCAUCGCUUACUGAUCCACGUACACAGGUUCAGCAAUAUGCAUUGAUUUAAAAUGAUCAAUCUACACAGGUUCAGCAAUAUGCAUUGAUUUAAAAUGAUCAAUCUACACAGGUUCAGCAAUAUGCAUUGAUUUAAAAUGAUCAAUCUACACAGGUUCAGCAAUAUGCAUUGAUUUAAAAUGAUCAAUCUACACAGGUUCAGCAAUAUGCAUUGAUUUAAAAUGAUCAAUGUAGUUCUUAUUUUGCUCCUUUUGAAAAUCAUGCUUACAGUAUCAAUUACUCAAGGACUCAAAACCUUAUCUGGCACGCUGGCUAGAUGUAAACAGACAAGACUAAAACUUGAUACUGUUGAUAAAUUUGUAUUUUUGGCAAAAUAUGGAUUUAAAAAAAAAAAAAAGAAAUAAAAAAUCCUUGAUCAUAUUGCUCAAAUAUUGUGAUAUAUACACACACACACACACACACACACACACACACCGUUUAUCGUCUUGAACAUCUGAAAUAUCAUGAUAUUUUUUUUGGUAUAUUGCCGACCCCUACAGUCAUGACAAGGUUGCAGGCGUUUUUGGGAGUAAAAUAAAAUAUUUUGCUUAUUAAAAAGGAGAGGAUUUUCUUUUUAGGGCUACCAAGGUAUAUAAGCAUGGUGUCUAAGUUGUUUAAAACCACAAAGCCCCACUCUUAACAUUUCUUGGAGGAUGAGGGCAUAUGCGUGUGAUAUAUAUAUAUAUAUAUAUAUAUUUG